GCAACAAAGCUAGCCCGCCCCCCCCCGUACAAUAAACAUUACAUUCAAAACAAACCAUUUGCCGAAACUAGUACAUGCGAUAGAAAGUGGCCCCGGCGCAAUAGCAAGAGUACCGCAAGGAAAAGCUGAAAGAAUAAUGAAACAACAAAGCAACAAAAAGCAAAGAUCAACCCCUGUACCUUUUGCAUCAUGGUUUAACCAGACGCAGUAGACAAAACGAACUUUUAGCCUGCACGCCCGAAAUCAGGUGAGCUACUCCGGGGCAACUACAAGAGUGAACCCGUCUCUGUGGCAAAAGAGUGGGACGACCCCGUAGUAGAGGUGAAAAGCCAAACGAACUUGAUUAUAGCUGGUUGCUCAAUAAAUGAAUUUUAGUUCAACUUUAGAUUUUUGCCCUACCCCAAGAAAGCACACUAUACCUCCAACCUAAAAGAUACUCAAUAAGGGUACAGCCUUAUUGACACAGGACACAACCUAAAUUAGAGAGCCCGCAAAGUACCCCCGACCAGUAGGCCCUAAAGCAGCCAUCAAUAAAAAAAGCGUCAAAGCACAAACAAUAAGAUACCAAGCACCCACACAAGCUCCUAACUACACACUGAGCCACACUAUUAAUAUAAACGAACUUAUGUUAAAACUAGUAACAAGAAAAUUUCUCUCCGCACCCCCGUGCACCAGUUAUAGAAAACCUACUGGCAAUUAACAGACCAGACAACGCAAAUAACAAAACAAUGUUCAACAAACUGUCACACCAACACCGGAGUACUACAAAGACCGAUUAAAAGCCGUAAAAGGAACUCAGCAAAACACUGUCCCAACUGUUUACCAAAAACAUAGCCCCCGGCAACACAAGUAUCAGGGGUAUCGCCUGCCCAGUGAAACUCUUUCAACGGCCGCGGUAUUCUAACCGUGCAAAGGUAGCGUAAUCAUUUGUCUUCUAAAUAAAGACCAGUAUGAACGGCUAAAUGAGGACAAGCCUGUCUCCUGCGCCCAAUCAGUGAAACUGAUCUUCCAGUACAAAAGCUGGAAUCACCACACAAGACGAGAAGACCCCGUGGAGCUUAAGACCAACUGCUAACAGCACCCUACUACCUAGCACAAAGUCUUGAGUUGGGGCGACUUCGGAAUAAAACAAAACUUCCGAGCACAGAACCAACAGUUCUCACCAAGGCCUACAAGCCAAAGAAUAACACGACCCAGUCACACUGACCAACGGACCAAGUUACCCCGGGGAUAACAGCGCCAUCUUCUUCAAGAGCCCCUAUCGACAAGAAGGUUUACGACCUCGAUGUUGGAUCAGGACACCCCAAUGGUGCAGCCGCUAUUAAAGGUUCGUUUGUUCAACGAUUAACAGUCCUACGUGAUCUGAGUUCAGACCGGAGUAAUCCAGGUCGGUUUCUAUCUAUGACGCCCCCUUUUUCAGUACGAAAGGACAAAAUAGGGGAGGCCAAUACCAAGGGCACGCCUCAAAGUACGACUGACAAAACUUAAGUCAAAUAGCAACCACCCCCAGCCAAAGACAAUGGCUUU
rnacentral:rRNA from 1 species